AUUUAUGUAGUUUAAAAAAACAUUACACUUUCACUGUAAAAAUAAUAGCAAUAUUCUUAAAUA
rnacentral:tRNA from 1 species